AUCAACAAAAGGAUUGCAUCAUCUAACAACUGAGAAAUGCACUCCCUUACUGUUUGCAGCUUGCCUAACAAGCUGAGCCAGGAGUAAAAUUACGUUAYGUGGCACUGAACUUAUGUAGCGUCGGUUUUGCCAGUGCAAAGGAUAAUUCAGUAGAAAGAAGGAGAGAGGUCACUCUCGGUUAUCUGGUGGUGUUUCUCAGAGAAAAGGAGGAGGACCUCUUCAAAGAGCACUUGGAUAGUGAAGUGCAGGCUACAGAUGAGGUGAUGAAGAUUGUCAUCAGCAGAGGUGCCAUAAUGUCUGACACAGCUCGUGCAAAGAUAGUGAUCAAGGGGACACAAGUCCUGAAAGACCUGAAUGUACCAAGAGCCUGUGCUUUGCUAAUGGGCUGAUAUAUGCGCUCCACCUCAGCUAAUCAAAAGAACUGAUGAAAACAUUUGAGGUAUUUCAAAAGAUAUUCCUUGGACUAGAUGGUCUGAAGGCGAGCCCGGAGGUAAUGUCAUAGACUGCUGUCCUAAAAAACWAAUCACAAGGAAAURUUGCACUGUGGUGUUGUUUAAAACACAGCAGCUGUACUAACUCACACUAAGUUGCAAGUUUAUUGUAAAGAUUGUUAUUUUGAAUUGUGUUACCUUGGACAGAGGUUUUUUCUACUUUUUGACUAUGAUAAGAGCAGGAUUAAGUUCAGGAUGUAAUCCAUGAUAUUUGUUUUGUUUUGUUUGAGGGCAAUUUCAUGGUGACAGCAUACAAAUAUUGGACUCUGUGUUCAGUUGAGGCACUCAAACGCACUGUUUGAUUUUCCUGCCGUCAUUUUGACACAUCAUAGAAGGGUAAACUCAGGGAUAAUAUUAUAAUGGUACUAUUUUAUUUAGUGAGUCAAAGCCACUCCAGUGAGCAUGUGUAAUACCAGGUCCAUGGCCCAUCUAAACAGAACAGAGCCAUAAUUUACAUUAUAAAUCACACCAUCACACUUGUGUUUAUCCUUCAGUGACUUCUGAAAAUGGCUGCUAAAGGGCCUUUUAUGAAGACUAUCUCAUUUGGGGAUGAGGAACCAGCUAAGCACCAUCAUUUAUUAUUUUUUUCCAAGUAUUGUAGGAAGUGGCUGGGCAUGUA